rnacentral:rRNA from 1 species
UAACCGAAUAGGGGAGCCGAAGGGAAACCGAGUCUUAACUGGGCGUUAAGUUGCAGGGUAUAGACCCGAAACCCGGUGAUCUAGCCAUGGGCAGGUUGAAGGUUGGGUAACACUAACUGGAGGACCGAACCGACUAAUGUUGAAAAAUUAGCGGAUGACUUGUGGCUGGGGGUGAAAGGCCAAUCAAACCGGGAGAUAGCUGGUUCUCCCCGAAAGCUAUUUAGGUAGCGCCUCGUGAAUUCAUCUCCGGGGGUAGAGCACUGUUUCGGCAAGGGGGUCAUCCCGACUUACCAACCCGAUGCAAACUGCGAAUACCGGAGAAUGUUAUCACGGGAGACACACGGCGGGUGCUAACGUCCGUCGUGAAGAGGGAAACAACCCAGACCGCCAGCUAAGGUCCCAAAGUCAUGGUUAAGUGGGAAACGAUGUGGGAAGGCCCAGACAGCCAGGAUGUUGGCUUAGAAGCAGCCAUCAUUUAAAGAAAGCGUAAUAGCUCACUGGUCGAGUCGGCCUGCGCGGAAGAUGUAACGGGGCUAAACCAUGCACCGAAGCUGCGGCAGCGACACUGUGUGUUGUUGGGUAGGGGAGCGUUCUGUAAGCCUGUGAAGGUGUGCUGUGAGGCAUGCUGGAGGUAUCAGAAGUGCGAAUGCUGACAUAAGUAACGAUAAAGCGGGUGAAAAGCCCGCUCGCCGGAAGACCAAGGGUUCCUGUCCAACGUUAAUCGGGGCAGGGUGAGUCGACCCCUAAGGCGAGGCCGAAAGGCGUAGUCGAUGGGAAACAGGUUAAUAUUCCUGUACUUGGUGUUACUGCGAAGGGGGGACGGAGAAGGCUAUGUUGGCCGGGCGACGGUUGUCCCGGUUUAAGCGUGUAGGCUGGUUUUCCAGGCAAAUCCGGAAAAUCAAGGCUGAGGCGUGAUGACGAGGCACUACGGUGCUGAAGCAACAAAUGCCCUGCUUCCAGGAAAAGCCUCUAAGCAUCAGGUAACAUCAAAUCGUACCCCAAACCGACACAGGUGGUCAGGUAGAGAAUACCAAGGCGCUUGAGAGAACUCGGGUGAAGGAACUAGGCAAAAUGGUGCCGUAACUUCGGGAGAAGGCACGCUGAUAUGUAGGUGAAGUCCCUCGCGGAUGGAGCUGAAAUCAGUCGAAGAUACCAGCUGGCUGCAACUGUUUAUUAAAAACACAGCACUGUGCAAACACGAAAGUGGACGUAUACGGUGUGACGCCUGCCCGGUGCCGGAAGGUUAAUUGAUGGGGUCAGCGCAAGCGAAGCUCUUGAUCGAAGCCCCGGUAAACGGCGGCCGUAACUAUAACGGUCCUAAGGUAGCGAAAUUCCUUGUCGGGUAAGUUCCGACCUGCACGAAUGGCGUAAUGAUGGCCAGGCUGUCUCCACCCGAGACUCAGUGAAAUUGAACUCGCUGUGAAGAUGCAGUGUACCCGCGGCAAGACGGAAAGACCCCGUGAACCUUUACUAUAGCUUGACACUGAACAUUGAGCCUUGAUGUGUAGGAUAGGUGGGAGGCUUUGAAGUGUGGACGCCAGUCUGCAUGGAGCCGACCUUGAAAUACCACCCUUUAAUGUUUGAUGUUCUAACGUGGACCCGUGAUCCGGGUUGCGGACAGUGUCUGGUGGGUAGUUUGACUGGGGCGGUCUCCUCCUAAAGAGUAACGGAGGAGCACGAAGGUUGGCUAAUCCUGGUCGGACAUCAGGAGGUUAGUGCAAUGGCAUAAGCCAGCUUGACUGCGAGCGUGACGGCGCGAGCAGGUGCGAAAGCAGGUCAUAGUGAUCCGGUGGUUCUGAAUGGAAGGGCCAUCGCUCAACGGAUAAAAGGUACUCCGGGGAUAACAGGCUGAUACCGCCCAAGAGUUCAUAUCGACGGCGGUGUUUGGCACCUCGAUGUCGGCUCAUCACAUCCUGGGGCUGAAGUAGGUCCCAAGGGUAUGGCUGUUCGCCAUUUAAAGUGGUACGCGAGCUGGGUUUAGAACGUCGUGAGACAGUUCGGUCCCUAUCUGCCGUGGGCGCUGGAGAACUGAGGGGGGCUGCUCCUAGUACGAGAGGACCGGAGUGGACGCAUCACUGGUGUUCGGGUUGUCAUGCCAAUGGCACUGCCCGGUAGCUAAAUGCGGAAGAGAUAAGUGCUGAAAGCAUCUAAGCACGAAACUUGCCCCGAGAUGAGUUCUCCCUGACCCUUUAAGGGUCCUGAAGGAACGUUGAAGACGACGACGUUGAUAGGCCGGGUGUGUAAGCGCAGCGAUGCGUUGAGCUAACCGGUACUAAUGAACCGUGAGGCUUAACCUUACAACGCCGAAGGUGUUU